AAUCAACGCUGGCGGCGUGCCUAACACAUGCAAGUCGCACGAGAAAGGGGAGCAAUCCCUGAGUAAAGUGGCGCACGGGUGAGUAACACGUGAAUCAUCUACCUCCGAGUGGGGAAUAACUGAGAGAAAUCUUAGCUAAUACCGCAUAACACUUACGAGUCAAAGCAGCAAUGCGCUUGGAGAGGAGUUCGCGGCCGAUUAGUUAGUUGGCGGGGUAAGG
rnacentral:rRNA from 1 species